AGGCAUUCGCUUCAUGGGGGAUAGGGGGAGCAAAAAGAGGAAUCUGCCUAGGGAGGGGCUUGCGUCUGAUUAUGCUAGUUGGUGAGGUAAUGGCUUACCAAGGCUACGAUCAGUAGCUGGUCUGAGAGGAUGAUCAGCCACACUGGGACUGAGACACGGCCCAGACUCCUACGGGAGGCAGCAGUGGGGAAUUUUCCGCAAUGGGCGAAAGCCUGACGGAGCAAUGCCGCGUGGAGGAAGAAAGCUUACGGGUUGUAAACUCCUUUUCUCAGAGAAGAAAAAAUGACGGUAUCUGAGGAAUAAGCAUCGGCUAACUCUGUGCCAGCAGCCGCGGUAAUACAGAGGAUGCAAGCGUUAUCCGGAAUGAUUGGGCGUAAAGCGUCUGUAGGUUGUUUAUUAAGUCCGCUGUUAAAUCCCACGGCUUAACCAUGGACAGGCGGCGGAAACUAUUAAACUAGAGUACGGUAGGGGCAGAGGGAAUUUCCGGUGGAGCGGUGAAAUGCGUAGAUAUCGGAAAGAACACCCAAGGCGAAGGCACUUUGCUGGGCCGAAACUGACACUGAGAGACGAAAGCUAGGGGAGCAAAUGGGAUUAGAUACCCCAGUAGUCCUAGCCGUAAACGAUGGAUACUGAGCGCUGCGCGUAUCAACCCGUGCAGUGCUUUAGCUAACGCGUUAAGUAUCCCGCCUGGGGAGUACGCUCGAAAGAGUGAAACUCAAAGGAAUUGACGGGGGCCCGCACAAGCGGUGGAGCAUGUGGUUUAAUUCGAUCAACGCGAAGAACCUUACCAGGGCUUGACAUGCCACGAAUCUUUUUGAAUGAAGCGAAUGCCUGGUAG
rnacentral:rRNA from 1 species